AGAGGGUGGAGGAAAGGUGUUGGUGGAGCUGGCACAAGGAGGGGACACUCAUCCUGGAGUCCAGGCUCAGAUGGAAGCUCUUUCAGCACAAGCUACACGCACAGCAAGCAGCACAGAAGGAGACCCAGGAGACCAUUUGGAGAGAACUCUGGAGGAGUGCUUCAGGGAGUGACCCUGAGACCAUAUGGCAAGAGAAGUCCAA